GCCUGCAUGAAGACGGAAUUGCUAGUAAUCGCGAAUCAGCAUGUCGCGGUGAAUACGUUCCCGGGCCUUGUACACACCGCCCGUCAAACCAUGAGAGUUGGGAAUACCCGAAGUCUGUAAUCUAACCGCAAGGAGGAUGCAGCCGAAGGUAGGCUCAAUGAUUGGGGUUAAGUCGUAACAAGGUACC
rnacentral:rRNA from 1 species